CCGCUUCCGCGCUCACCUACACAACCGCAUUUAUGCGAGCGCAUCAUUCCGUGACUCGGGCGGCACCCAAGAAUGCCACUGCAGGCUUCCUCAUCAAAUCUCACUGUGCUCUCUUGCUUUCAUCGCUGCUUUCAGCGUCGCCUCCGUCGCCAUCCAGAGAGUGCCCAGCCCACGUACCCAUUUCUGCUCUCUCCGCUCCUCAGCUUCCCGCUGCUGCCAUCUCGCCACUCACGCUGCAGCCUGGCCACAUGGUGAACAGCGUGCGGCCGACGAGGAUCAAUGAAACCACCACAUCCACGCGCACCCAUGCCUGCGCAACCGGGAGGGGGGCAACGGCUUCGCACGUGCAAGGUGCCCUGGGGAAAAUCCCUGCUGCGCUUGUGACGUUGAGGAACAUCAUCGCGGACGUGAAGGGCUGCGCUGGUGAGGCUCCUAUGCUUGCGCUGAGCGCGGAGAGGGAUGCACUACCGCUGACAUAGCUGACGCAUGUGCCGUCCAAGUCGCAGAACCCCGGCGUGCGGUGCGUGCCAGCGGCCAUGACACGCGCACGGCGUGCUUGAUGGAUGCUGUGGAGAUGAUGUGCGAGAUGCGGGAGAGGGCCAAGGACACGGUGCGCUUCGUCUUCAAGCACUUGGAGGAGGGGUGCCCGGGUGGUGCGAAGCAGGUGGUACAGGCGGGCGCAACGGACGGCGUGCCAAAGAUCUUCGGCCUACACAGAAGGCCAAUCCUGUCUGUCGGGCACCCUUCCUCUUCGCCUCUCGUACUGGUAUUGCCUCCGAUGUCGUGACCGGCGUUGACAUCGUAGCGCACAUCACUAGUGGCCAAGCUUCCGCUCAGCGGCUGUGCGAGGGCCCGGCCAUGAUCGUGAGCGGCACCUCGAUGAACCUGCAUACGGUUGUGUCACGGCGCCUUGCUGCGUCUAGGGUGCCGGGGAUCGUCUUUGUGACGCUGCACUCCGGUGCCGGCACUUUCAACGUGCACCUCGCUGUGACUGCACGGGCAACGUGCGUGUCUCCCGCUCCCAUCUUCUGGACUCGUGUUUUGGCUGAAGCCGCCGUGUGCCGCUGCCCACCAGCGAACCCCGCCCCUCUUCUUCUCCCUCUCUGCUGUGCCCGCCUGCCUCCACCUCUCCGUGUGUCUAUGCGCGCGCCCCUCGUUCGCAAUCGCGUCUCCUCUCUCUCGCAGUGUUUCCCUUCACUCCCUGUGACCAAAGCAGGCCUGACGAGAUGCCCGGCGUGAGCGUAGGUGUGUGUAGGCACUGACGGCUGUAGGGCGCGGUGGCGGGGCGGGGGUGGACACUUUACCCUCCAGCCGAUCGCUGGGCCCGGCGUGUCCCUCAUUCCCGGCCGAGUGCCAGUCUCAUCAUCCUUUUGGUCCCUCUCUCUCUGAGCUGUAUCUCUUUUCCUUUUACACUGACCGCAGCGGCGGCGGCAGCAGCAGCAAAAAGCAACACGAUGUCUGUUGAACACUGACGCGCGUACGCACUGCUGUGUCAUCACCGUGUGCUUGCGCGUGCCUUUGAACCGCGUGUGAGGGAGAGGGCGGCGGCCAAGCGCUGGUCCUGCGGCGAGAAGACAAAGGGCGGGUCUCUCGGCGUAGGCGAGACUGAGCUGUGUGGGUGGGGCGCAUGGCUCAUGACAUGCCCGUGCCGUGUAAGCCGCACCUGCUCUGCCGGGAAGGGGGGAGGUGGGCGGCGAAGGAACGAAAGGCGGCAGCGGAGCGCUGACCGCAGAGGAUGCCUUGAUGUGUACACCCACCCACCCCACGCCCGCUUGCACGCGUGCGUGCACCGAUGCACUGCCGCUUACAUCGUACUGCAUCCACUCAGAGGCGUGCCAGCGAGAAACACGAGGUAAGCGGAGAGAGGACAUGACGCGGCAACAGCAGCAGCGGCGCAGCAGCAUGCGCCCGUGACGUUCAUGAGAGGCUGCACACGCCCCACUGCCUUCUCUGCGAUCCACGAGCACCUGCACCUCUGUCGAGGCGCACUUCUAUCCCUCUUUCAGUAUGCUGCCGCUGAUGUGUGUCUUGGCGCCUGUCAGAGUGAAAAAUCUGUGCGCACGGGCGUGGCGCGGGAGAGGGCUUGAUCGCCUCUCGCCCUCCGUCAUUUUCCGGAGCUUGUCCACCGCCUCAUGUUUCUUACCCCCCUCUCCCACUCCCUCUUGGCGUGCUGGGCUGAUCUUGCUCUGCUCCCUCCAUCAUGCCAGAUGGAGUGUGGCACAGCAGAGCAAGUGCACGCAUGCACCCUGGGCUGUACACGGACGCCGCCAUGGAGCCGUUCGGUGGUGCAUAAGGGUGCUUGCUUGCUGUGCGCGCCCACGGGGCGCCGAGUCGGUGGCUUCUUCCGACUGCACAUCCCCUCCUCCUCUUCUCUACGUGCGCCCUGGCGUUGGCGUCUGUCUUUCGGUGGACUCUUGCACGGAUAAGACGUGCGUCGUGCUACUCUUUGCCGACUCUACGCUCACCCUUUCCUGCCUUU
rnacentral:misc_RNA from 1 species